GUGCCAGCAGCCGCGGUAAUACGUAGGGUGCGAGCGUUGUCCGGAAUUACUGGGCGUAAAGAGCUCGUAGGUGGUUUGUCGCGUUGUUCGUGAAAACUCACAGCUUAACUGUGGGCGUGCGGGCGAUACGGGCAGACUAGAGUACUGCAGGGGAGACUGGAAUUCCUGGUGUAGCGGUGGAAUGCGCAGAUAUCAGGAGGAACACCGGUGGCGAAGGCGGGUCUCUGGGCAGUAACUGACGCUGAGGAGCGAAAGCGUGGGGAGCGAACAGGAUUAGAUACCCUGGUAGUCCACGCCGUAAACGGUGGGUACUAGGUGUGGGUUCCUUCCUUGGGAUCCGUGCCGUAGCUAACGCAUUAAGUACCCCGCCUGGGGAGUACGGCCGCAAGGCUAAAACUCAAAGGAAUUGACGGGGGCCCGCACAAGCGGCGGAGCAUGUGGAUUAAUUCGAUGCAACGCGAAGAACCUUACCUGGGUUUGACAUGCAC
rnacentral:rRNA from 1 species